UGGGGAAUAUUGCACAAUGGGCGCAAGCCUGAUGCAGCAACGCCGCGUGAACGAUGAAGGUCUUCGGAUCGUAAAGUUCUGUCGCAGGGGAAGAUAAUGACGGUACCCUGUGAGGAAGCCCCGGCUAACUACGUGCCAGCAGCCGCGGUAAUAAGGAGGGGGCUAGCGUUAUCCAGAUUUACUGGGCGUAAAGGGUGCGUAGGUGGUCUUUCAAGUCGGUGGUUAAAGGCUACGGCUCAACCGUAGUUAGCCUCCGAAACUGGAAGACUUGAGUGCAGGAGAGGAAAGUGGAAUUCCCAGUGUAGCGGUGAAAUGCUUAGAUAUUGGGGGGAACACCAGUAGCGAAGGCGGCUUUCUGGACUGCAACUGACACUGAUGCACGAAAGCGUGGGUAGCAAACAGG
rnacentral:rRNA from 1 species